rnacentral:lncRNA from 1 species
AUGGUGGGGGUUUUACCCACUAGUUUUACCCACUGGUGUAUGGUGGGGGUUUUACCCACUGGUUUUACCCACUGGUGCAUGGUGGGGGUUUUACCCACUGGUGUAUGGUGGGGGUUUUACCCACUGGUGCCUGGUGGGGGUUUUACCCACUGGUUUAUGGUGGGGGUUUUACCCACUGGUGCAUGGUGGGGGUUUUACCCACUGGUGUAUGGUGGGGGUUUUACCCACUGGUUUUACCCACUGGUGCAUGGUGGGGGUUUUACCCACUGGUGUAUGGUGGGGGUUUUACCCACUGGUGCCUGGUGGGGGUUUUACCCACUGGUUUAUGGUGGGGGUUUUACCCACUGGUGUAUGGUGGGGGUUUUACCCACUGGUGCAUGGUGGGGGUUUUACCCACUGGUUUAUGGUGGGGGUUUUACCCACUGGUGCAUGGUGGGGGUUUUACCCACUGAUGUAUGGUGGAGGUUUUACCCACUGGUGCAUGGUGGGGGUUUUACCCACUGGUGUAUGGUGGAGGUUUUACCCACUGGUUUUACCCACUGGUGUAUGGUGGGGCUUUUACCCACUGGUGCAUGGUGGAGGUUUUACCCACUGAUGUAUGGUGGGGGUUUUACCCACUGGUUUUACCCACUGGUGUAUGGUGGGGGUUUUACCCACUGGUGGAUGGUGGGGGUUUUACCCACUGGUUUUACCCACUGGUUUUACCCACUGGUGUAUGGUGGAGGUUUUACCCACUGGUGCAUGGUGGGGGUUUUACCCACUGGUUUUACCCACUGGUGUAUGGUGGGGGUUUUACCCACUGGUUUUACCCACUGGUGCAUGGUGGAGGUUUUACCCACUGGUGUAUGGUGGGGGUUUUACCCACUGGUGUAUGGUGGAGGUUUUACCCACUGGUGUAUGGUGGGGGUUUUACCCACUGGUGCAUGGUGGGGGUUUUACCCACUGGUGUAUGGUGUAGGUUUUACCCACUGGUGUAUGGUGGAGAUUUUACCCACUGGUGUAUGGUGGGGGUUUUACCCACUGGUGCAUGGUGGGGGUUUUACCCACUGGUGUAUGGUGGGGGUUUUACCCACUGGUGCAUGGUGGGGGUUCUGCCAACCAUUCCACCUUCUUCCUGUCUGA